GAUGAAGAACGUAGCGAAAUGCGAUACUUGGUGUGAAUUGCAGAAUCCCGUGAACCAUCGAGUCUUUGAACGCAAGUUGCGCCCGAAGCCACUAGGCCGAGGGCACGCCUGCCUGGGCGUCACACGUCGUUGCCCCCCCCCCAUCUACUCCUUCGGGAUUGCGGGGGGCGGAUGAUGGCCUCCCGUGCGCCUAGCCGCGCGGUUGGCAUAAAUACCAAGUCCUCGGCGACGCACGCCACGACAAUCGGUGGUUGCGAAACCUCGGUUGCCCGUCGUGUGCGUUCGUCGCGCAUCGAGGGCUCGAAAAAAUGCUCGGCUCCGGCUCGGCUUUCAAUGCGACCCCAGGUCAGGCGGGGUUACCCGCUGAAUUUAAGCAUAUCAAUAAGCGGAGGA
rnacentral:misc_RNA from 1 species